rnacentral:rRNA from 1 species
GAUGAACGCUAGCGGCAGGCUUAAUACAUGCAAGUCGAGGGCAGCAUGGUGUAGCAAUACACUGAUGGCGACCGGCAAACGGGUGCGGAACACGUACAGAACCUUCCUUCGAGCGGGGAAUAGCCCAGAGAAAUUUGGAUUAAUACCCCAUAGUAUAGCAGAGAGGCAUCUCUCUGUUAUUAAAGAUUUAUCACUUGAAGAUGGCUGUGCGGCUGAUUAGGUAGUUGGCGGGGUUAACGGCCCACCAAGCCUGCGAUCAGUAACUGGUGUGAGAGCACGACCAGUCACACGGGCACCUGAGACACGGGCCCGA